rnacentral:rRNA from 1 species
UAUACAUGCAGUCGAGCGAUGGAUUAGAGCUUGCUCUUAUGAAGUUAGCGGCGGACGGGUGAGUAACACGUGGGUAACCUGCCCAUAAGACUGGGAUAACUCCGGGAAACCGGGGCUAAUACCGGAUAACAUUUUGAACCGCAUGGUUCGAAAUUGAAAGGCGGCUUCGGCUGUCACUUAUGGAUGGACCCGCGUCGCAUUAGCUAGUUGGUGAGGUAACGGCUCACCAAGGCAACGAUGCGUAGCCGACCUGAGAGGGUGAUCGGCCACACUGGGACUGAGACACGGCCCAGACUCCUACGGGAGGCAGCAGUAGGGAAUCUUCCGCAAUGGACGAAAGUCUGACGGAGCAACGCCGCGUGAGUGAUGAACG